rnacentral:lncRNA from 1 species
GCCUUCACCAGCUGCCAUGAGCGAGCGCCUCCGCCCCAGGUGAGAGAAGGGACCCACUUUCUCUACGGCCCCUCGGCCGAGGAUGUGCGCCAUGGAGCCGAGGGGCGCACGAAGCCGGGGUGGUGUGAGGCUCUUGUCUGCGCUGCUCUGCGGUCGGAGGAGGCCGGGAGAAGGUUGCGCGGCCUCUGACAACUGGACCCUGUGGGUAGCCAGAGAGGUGACUCUCUGGAAUCCAGGGCUACCCCUUCUCCGUCUUUUUCUUGUUUUCUUCGUCUUCUGCCCUUUCCACUUUGGAAUGAGAAAAAGGAGAAGAAAUGGCAGUGAUGAUGACAACCACCCUCCUCCACAGACCAAAAGGAGCAGUAGGAACCCCAUCUUCCAGGACUCCUGGGACACAG